GAUGAACGCUGGCGGCAUGCCUAAUACAUGCAAGUCGAACGAGAGGAAGGAAAGCUUGCUUUUCUGAAUCUAGUGGCGAACGGGUGAGUAACACGUAGGUAACCUGCCCAUGUGCCCGGGAUAACUUCUGGAAACGGAUGCUAAAACCGGAUAGGUAGCAGACAAGCAUUUGACUGCUAUUAAAGUGGCUAAGGCCAUGAACAUGGAUGGACCUGCGGUGCAUUAGCUAGUUGGUGAGGUAACGGCCCACCAAGGCGACAAUGCAUAGCCGGCCUGAGAGGGCGGACGGCCACAUUGGGGCUGAGACACGGCCCAAACUCCUACGGGAGGCAGCAGUAGGGAAUUUUCGUCAAUGGGGGGAACCCUGAACGAGCAAUGCCGCGUGAGUGAGGAAGGUCUUCGGAUCGUAAAGCUCUGUUGUAAGAGAAAAACGACAUUCAUAGGGAAUGAUGAGUGAGUGAUGGUAUCUUACCAGAAAGUCACGGCUAACUACGUGCCAGCAGCCGCCGUAAGAC
rnacentral:rRNA from 1 species